AUUGAACGCUGGCGGCAUGCCUAACACAUGCAAGUCGAUCGGAUGAACCCUGCUUUCUUCUGGAUUCCGCUUCGCACGUGUUUGUAUUGCCUUUGAAUCUCCCUGCUUUUUGUUUAUUACGUCCUCAUACGUCCUCUUCUACUGCCUACUUCCUGCUCGUGCUUCUUGUUGUUCUUCUGACCUCUUGCUCUCUUAUUUUUCUAGGUCGGAUUAGUUAGUUGGUGGGUUAAAGGCCUACCAAGGCGACGAUCCGUAACUGGUCUGAGAGGAUGAUCAGUCACACUGGAACUGAGACACGGUCCAGACUCCUAAGGGAGGCAGCAGUGGGGAAUAUUGGACAAUGGGCGAAAGCCUGAUCCAGCCAUGCCGCGUGUGAGAAGAAGGUCUUCGGAUUGUAAAGCACGUUAAGUUGGGAGGAAGGGCAGUAAGUUAAUACCUAGCUGUUUUGACGUUACCAACAGAAUAAGCACCGGCUAACUUCGUG
rnacentral:rRNA from 1 species